rnacentral:lncRNA from 10 species
GUAUGUGGUCAGUGCAACCUGUACUUCUACAGCCACCAGCCUGCAGGCUGGACCCCAUUAGAGUGAGGAACGGAACCCCUGCUAGCCAGCCUCAGGUGACAAAACUGAGGCUCAGAGGCCAAUGGCCUUGUUCAAGGUCACACGCCCACUAAAUGAGAGACCCGGAGACCUGGCAUCACACGCUAACUAAGAAUACUGGAAGGAGAUAAGAUUGGGACUGAAAGACCUGGAUUGAAUGAUUUUUAUCAAGUCACUUCCCUUCCUUGGAUCUCCAUUUACUCAUCAAUAAACUAAGCAGAUUGGAUUAAAUGUUCUGUAAGGUGCCUUCUAGGUGAGGAAGAAGUUGGGAUAAGUCAUAAGGAAGCACCCCAAUGAACAUCUCCUGCCUCUAUGGUUUUUCUGACAUCCAUCAACAUCUGUCAGAAUUUGAAAAUGUGACUGCUUUUAGGUA